AACAGGAAAUGGCUCUUUUCAAGGAUGCAGCAGAGGUAGCACUCAAGUGAUCAGAGAUAAUUGAGAAGAAGAGAUACAAAAGGCUUAGAAGAAACGCACUGAAACUUACAGAUGAGCACCAGCUGGAAUCCUUCUCUCAAGUUACCUUGCUGGUUUGAUGUUCAAUUCUGAUAAUUACAGAUCAUUAGCAAGCAACUUGGAAUUACCAGAACGGAGUUGGACAUUACCAAUUGAAAAUGCUUUUAUGGUUUACCAUGUUCCACUGGCAAAACUUCGAAGGGAGUGGAUUGUUGCACCACCAUUUUGAAGAAUUUGGACAGCUACGUUUUUCAAGUAUCCUGGAAAAGUUGUCUUGGAGGCAACUCUUUUAAUCAGUAACUUUAACAUGUUUCUGCCAAUGUAAAUUAUUCUGGUCUACUGCAGAACUGUCAAUAAAUUUCAUCAGUUUAA